GUUUUGGGACCCUUUUAAAUUUGAUUCGACACUUAAUUUAAGCUCAUUCAUUCACCUGUAGAAAUAGUGUGUAUUCCUAUGCACACCUUAAACAAACACCGUUGCUUCAAUCACGUAACCUGGAGAAUUCACGUUGCGUCUUAGAUUAGAUGCAAAUGUGGUUCUUCAAGAAAGAUCAGACACUGGGCGUGUUUUUUCUCCAAUGUUUACGUUAUGGAACUCAGUUAUGAAACGAAAUAAGGGGCGGGAUCAUUUGAAGUUACAUAACUUUUUUUUCCAUAAUUCAUUGAAUCGUCAGCCUCAAGGUGAACUUGAAAGGGGAAAAUGAGGAACUUUGACCAUAUUUUCAACUGACACGUGCUGAGGGCCCAUAAAUGCCCCAGUUGCACAAGGAGAUGUGACAUAAAAGCCCCUCCUUGGUCAUUCAUACCAAGCGUCAGUGAAGAGCGCACACAAAACGGUUAUAUCGGCUGCAUUUUAGGCAUUGAGAAUGGCGAAACACAGUAAAAGCCUUUUGUUCGCCAUAAUGACGGCAGUGGUCUUCUUCAUCGUCGCCAUGGUCUUCAGCGCCCUGGCAGCUCAAGGGAAGCAUCCCUUCCUGGAGCCUACUGGCAACGUUUCAGAUGCCUUUGCCAAUGAGAUCACACCCUCAGGAUGGACCUUCAUCAUAUGGACCAUCAUUUACAUCUUCCUGGCAUUAGUGUGUGUCUACACGCUGGCUGGAUUAUUUAGGAAGAACGCUUAUGGUUACGUCUACUGCAGCCCUGCCAUUCUACCACAUGGGUUCUUUGUGGCCUGGUGCUUGAACCUGGGUCUCAAUGUUGGAUGGUUGUUCCUAUGGGACAGGAGGUUGAUGGCUGGAGCUCUGGUCUUCCUCAUCUUAGUUGCUUUGACCAACUACGUGAUGAUUUUCUACUCCUGCCACAGUCUCCACAUUUACGGCGCGUGGCUCAGCAAGUACCACAAAGUCGACCUGUGGCUCCACCGUGCGCUGGUUCAGAACGGCAUCGCCAUAUAUGCAACCUGGACAACUGUUGCCUCUCUGGUUAAUUUGAGCAUUGUGCUGGUCAAAGACGCAAAAAUGUCCCCAGAAGACGCGGUCACUCUUUCUUUCUCUCUUCUCACCGUGGUCUUGCUUGUUUGGUUCGUCCUGGAGAAUUCUCUCCUGGACAAAUACCUGAGGCACAUCCUCUCCAUUUACCCCGCUGUCAUCUGGGCCCUGACGGGGGUGUUCACCAAGAACUACAACACCGCACAGCCCACCCGCAAUAACGUCUUCAACGUUGCUCUGUUGGGCGUCAGCUGCACCUUGCUGGCCCUGCGCUUGGUUUUGGUCAUCUGGAAGAACAUGAAAAGGCCGCUGUUAGAAGACGCCAGCCCAGAGGUCAUGUCUCCAAUGGAGAUCGCCGAGAGACAGAAAAAGAUAUAUAUAUGAGAAUGUUGGAGUUUUGGUCAAGAUUAGGUGUUUUUUUUUUUGACAACGGUGAAGAGGUUUUAUCGUUUAUGUAGCAGUAAACUUGUGUUUUUCAUUUUCAAGUGUUCUCUAGAACAUGAAUGCUAUUGUGUUGGGUAAUUUUGGGCAAACAGCAAUCAAAUGAUGAAUGCUUGUUUCAAAUUUAAGAAAAGGAGACAAAAACUAAAUUAUGGUGGUUUGAAAAUCUCCCAAAUGUGUGUUUAUCAUUAAAAAUCCCUUGAAUGGUGGAAAUGUCAGGUUCAGAUAAAAUGUGAGAUUUCUAAUUAUUAAAGUUUUUUCUCUCAAUAAAACACAAAACACUCAUGUGAAUAAGUGUUGUUUCUUGGUUUUAGUCUCUCCACACUGUUUCUUUUCCUGUUUUACGUUCUAAUAAAAAGAGAAAAAAG
ensembl:lncRNA